UCAAACUUGGUCAUUUAGAGGAAGUAAAAGUCGUAACAAGGUUUCCGUAGGUGAACCUGCGGAAGGAUCAUUACCGUUGGAGCUCGCUCCAUCUGGGAUAGAACCCUUGAUUUUGAGUACCUUUUCGUUUCCUCGGCGGGCUCGCCCGCCGGUGGACAACCUAAAACUCUUUGUAAUAGCAGUAUCUUCUGAGAAUAACAAAUAGUCAAAACUUUCAACAACGGAUCUCUUGGUUCUGGCAUCGAUGAAGAACGCAGC
rnacentral:misc_RNA from 1 species